GUUUAGUAAUGAGUUUUCUUCAGUAACAUUGACCAGUUAUGUGGAUGAAUAUUCUAAUGAAGGGAGUGUAUCACUGUAUCACAAUGGUAACUUAUUGUUUUCAGGAGUAACCAGUGGUAUAAUAGAUUCCUCAUUUAAUCCAUACUAUAAUUACACUAUCAAUCAUCCAUCAAUUACUGAUUCUGGAUACUAUGAAUUUCAAUUUGUUCUCAACCCAUAUUCAGUACUUUCUUCAUUGAAUUGUCCUCAUUCAUAUCAAAACUUUCUGACAUUUUAUACAUUUUUAAGACUGAAUGCUAUUCUUCUUGAUCAAAGUGUACAAAAACUGGAAUAUUAUGAAACUCCACACUUCAACUUCAGCUCUAAUUCUACCAGUUUUAUACAAGAUUACAAUGUUCAGCUAUCAUGCUCUGUCAGUGGUGGGUAUCCUCUCUAUCGUAAUAUUACUUUGAUUAAGAAUGGAGUGGCUAUUGCUAAUAG